UACGAAGGGGGCUAGCGUUGCUCGGAAUCACUGGGCGUAAAGGGCGCGUAGGCGGAUCUUUAAGUCGGGGGUGAAAGCCCAGGGCUCAACCCUGGAAUUGCCUUCGAUACUGAGGAUCUCGAGACCGGAAGAGGUAAGUGGAACUGCGAGUGUAGAGGUGAAAUUCGUAGAUAUUCGCAAGAACACCAGUGGCGAAGGCGGCUUACUGGUCCGGUUCUGACGCUGAGGCGCGAAAGCGUGGGGAGCAAACAGG
rnacentral:rRNA from 1 species